GAUGAACGCUGGCGGCGUGCCUAACACAUGCAAGUCGAACGAACAGACGAGUACUUUGCUCGUCUGACGUUAGCGGCAGGGGGGUGAGUAACAUGUGGAUAAUCUACCUAUAAUACUGGUAUAACUGCGGGAAACCGGUGCUAAUACCGGAGAAUAUAUUUAACCGGAUGGUUCAGUAAUUAAUGUCGGUUUUGGUGGCGCUUAUAGCUGAACCCGCGCGGCAUUGGGUAGUUGGCUAGGGAAGGGCUUACCAAGGCAACGACGCGGAGCCGACCCGGGAGAGUGGUCGCCCACCCGAGAUGGGAGACAGGGACCCGACUCCUGAGGGAGGCAGCAGUCGGGAAUCUUCCGCAAUGGGCGAGAGCUUGACACAGCAACGCCGCGCGAGUGAUGACGACGUUCGGAGCGGGAAGCUCUGUUAUUAGGGGAGAACAACUGUGUAUGUAACUAUGCACGUAUUGACGGUACCUAAACAAAAAGCCACGGCUAACUACGUG
rnacentral:rRNA from 1 species